rnacentral:rRNA from 1 species
UYUAGCUGUCACUUAUAGAUGGGCCCGCGGCGCAUUAGCUAGUUGGUGAGGUAAUGGCUCACCAAGGCGACGAUGCGUAGCCGACCUGAGAGGGUGAUCGGCCACACUGGGAGAGUGACACGGCCCAGACCUGUACGGGAGACUGGGGUAGGGAAUGGAAACCAAUGGUAAAAAGUCUGACGGAGUUUUCCCGCAUGAACGAAGAAGGCAAUCGGGUYGUAAAGUUCUGUUGUUAGGGAAGAACAAGUACCAGAGUAACUGCUGGUACCUUGACGGUACCUAACCAGAAAGCC